UUAUAAAUAUUUUUAAAAAUAUAAAUAUAAAAAUAUAUAUUAUAUAUUUUAAAACUAUAGAUUUUGAUAUAUCAGAAUAAGGUAUUGUACCUUAUUACCGGUAUAUACCGAAUAUUAAGGUAUACUAGAAUAAGGUAUGAUACCGCAUCACCGGUAUAUACAGUAAUAUUCGGUAUACCAGUAAUACGGUAUCAUACUGUGUUCAGGUAUAUACCUUUAAUACGGUAUUUAUUGAUUUUUCCGGUAUAUACCGCGGUAUCGGUAUACACCGGUAUACCCCGGUAUCUGGAAAAUCCAUACCUUUACCUUACCGUAAAUUUUCGGUACGGUAUCAUAUCUUACCAAAAAAACCGGUAUACCUUAAAUUCGGUAUUUUCCGGUAUUUUACGGUACGGUAUGGCCGGUAUACCGAGUUUUCGGUAUAUUUUUCCAGCCCUA
rnacentral:lncRNA from 1 species